CAUUACUGAAUUGUCAAACGGGUUGUUGCUGGCCCUCAUAGGGGGCAUGUGCACGCUCUGUUUACACAUCCACUCACACCUGUGCACCCUCUGUAGUUCUAUGGUCUGGGGGACCCUGUCUUCCUUCUGUGGUUCUACGUCUCUACACACACACUGUAAUAAAGUUUUAUGGAAUGUACAUCGCGUCUAACGCAAUACAAUACAACUUUCAGCAACGGAUCUCUUGGCUCUCGCAUCGAUGAAGAACGCAGCGAAAUGCGAUAAGUAAUGUGAAUUGCAGAAUUCAGUGAAUCAUCGAAUCUUUGAACGCACCUUGCGCCCCUUGGCUAUUCCGAGGGGCAUGCCUGUUUGAGUAUCAUGAACACCUCAACUCUCAUGGUUUGCCAUGAUGAGUUGGACUCUGGGGGUUUUGCUGGCCUGUGGUCGGCUCCUCUCAAAUUAAUCAGCCUCCCAGUGUUUGGUGGCAUCACGGGUGUGAUAAAUAUCUACGCUCGCUGUUGUCUGCCAGGUAACCUUUGGUCACAAAGGUUUGCUGGAGCUCACAGAUGUCUCUCCUCAGCGAGGACAGCUUUUUUAACGUUCGAUCUCAAAUCUAGGACUACGCUGAACUUAAGCAUA
rnacentral:misc_RNA from 1 species